rnacentral:rRNA from 1 species
AGUCGAGGGGUAUUGGUUUUCGGACCAAGAGACCGGCGCACGGGUGCGUAACGCGUAUGCAAUCUACCUUUUGCAGAGGGAUAGCCCAGAGAAAUUUGGAUUAAUACCUCAUAGUAUUAUAGGAUGGCAUCAUUUUAUAAUUAAAGUCACAACGGCAAAAGAUGAGCAUGCGUCCCAUUAGCUAGAUGGUAAGGUAACGGCUUACCAUGGCAACGAUGGGUAGGGGUCCUGAGAGGGAGAUCCCCCACACUGGUACUGAGACACGGACCAGACUCCUACGGGAGGCAGCAGUGAGGAAUAUUGGUCAAUGGACGCAAGUCUGAACCAGCCAUGCCGCGUGCAGGAUGACGGUCCUAUGGAUUGUAAACUGCUUUUGUACGAGAAGAAACAACAUUACGUGUAAUGUCUUGACGGUAUCGUAAGAAUAAGGAUCGGCUAACUCCGUGCCAGCAGCCGCGGUAAUACGGAGGAUCCAAGCGUUAUCCGGAAUCAUUGGGUUUAAAGGGUCCGUAGGCGGUUUAGUAAGUCAGUGGUGAAAGCCCAUCGCUCAACGGUGGAACGGCCAUUGAUACUGCUAGACUUGAAUUAUUAGGAAGUAACUAGAAUAUGUAGUGUAGCGGUGAAAUGCUUAGAGAUUACAUGGAAUACCAAUUGCGAAGGCAGGUUACUACUA